rnacentral:rRNA from 1 species
UACGUAGGGUGCGAGCGUUAAUCGGAAUUACUGGGCGUAAAGCGUGCGCAGGCGGUUUUGUGAGCCAGAUGUGAAAUCCCCGGGCUUAACCUGGGAAUGGCAUUUGGGACUGCAAGGCUUGAGUGCGGCAGAGGAGACUAGAAUUCCUGGUGUAGCAGUGAAAUGCGUAGAUAUCAGGAGGAACACCUGAGGUGAAGACGGGUUGCUGGGCCAACACUGACGCUGAGGCGCGAAAGCGUGGGGAGCAAACAGG